UGAAAAGCAACCAAUUUAUUCCAUGUACCUUGGUAAUUAAAGAAACCUCUGGACUUUUUCUCAUUGUUGGAUGGAAUGACAGUUCCAAUGAAGAAGUUUGCAAUAGCAAUUAGAAGAAUGACCAGAAGAAUGACUUGGGCCUGGAAUGGAAAGUGCUAACUGCAGCAGUUCGAGAAUGCAGAAUGAUGAAUACAAUUCCUGUGAUUCCCAGUGCACUUGACGUCAGGCUGCCGCUGUGUGCUCAGCACAAGCAGUCUGCAAAGUUGACUGGUCAGAUGGUCUUCCUUCAGCCCCUCCAAUGCUGCAAGGCAGCUUGAAAGAGGAACCAGGGUUUGUGAUUGAGAGACCCAGGCUUCCAGCGUGCACCACUGCUAUGAUCAUAAGGGGUCUGUGCAUAAGGCAGCCGCCUUGGUGACAGCACAGAGAGACAAAAUACGGCAGUCAUGUGACUCGUGAGCCCUGAAUCAUGACUGCCUGGGCUUCGUGCUUUGCAGGCUUGGUGUUCCACCUAGCACUUGCCUGCUCAUUUCACCAUAGCAGCUACUGAAAUUCCUAGAAGAAUCACCACUGUGAUGGAGCCUAUAAUCCGGAUGUCAUUGGUUGGAUCCACCAUCAUCGAAUCACUCUCCUGGGGAAACAAAUUAUUAAGUGCUUAGAGAUACAGCUUUUUGCAUAAGAAUGACUAGUUAUUUCUGUGUGUCAAGGGGAAUCCUAGCAGAAUAAAAACGGAUGGUUUACAAUGUAAAUCCUGAAAGUUAAGUGGUGUCCUAUGUAAGACCAGAUGACACAAACCUGAUAAUGCAUCUCUUGAAGCGUUUGGGGUGAGCCCCGAGGCCUGGGUGCAGGAGUGGUUUACUGAGUGGCAAUCAUCAGCAAUGCCAUCUGGGGCAUUGGAGAAGACCCAUGCUGAGAGGACCUGCGAGAGAGCCAGUGGGUCUCAUCCAAGGCCAAUGAUGAUGACUCCAAGACCU
rnacentral:lncRNA from 1 species